rnacentral:tRNA from 1 species
GGGGCUAUAGCUCAGUUGGGAGAGCGCUUCGUUCGCAAUGAAGAGGUCAGGAGUUCGACCCUCCUUAGCUCCACCA